rnacentral:rRNA from 1 species
CCUACGGGUGGCAGCAGUGGGGAAUAUUGCACAAUGGGGGAAACCCUGAUGCAGCGACGCCGCGUGAGUGAAGAAGUCUUUCGGUAUGUAAAGCUCUAUCAGCAGGGAAGAAAAAAGACGGUACCUGACUCAGAAGCCCUGGCUAACUACGUGCCAGCAGCCGCGGUAAUCCGUAGGGGGCAAGCGUUGUCCGGAUUUACUGGGUGUAAAGGGAGCGUAGUCGGGGCGGUAAGUCUGAAGUGAAAGGCACGGGCUUAACCCCUGAACUGCUUUGGAUACUGCCAUGCUAGAGUGCUGGAGAGGUAAGUGGAAUUCCUGGUGUAGCGGUGAAAUGCGUAGAUAUUAGGAGGAACACCAGUGGCGAAGGCGGCUUACUGGACAGUAACUGACGUUGAGGCUCGAAAGCGUGGGGAGCAAACAGGAUUAGAUACCCUUGUAGUC